AGCUGUCCAGACGGAGGACCAUGUGUCCGAGUCUUCUCUCACAUGACACUGCGUCCCACCAGCCCUGGUCUGAGGCCCCUCCCCCCACAACCUCCUUUCUCACUUUAGCCCCACUCAAAUCCUCGACCACGUCCGUAUUUUUUGCUCUAAGAUCAUGUGACGAGUCCUAAGUACACCAGGUUUAUGAAGUUCCUGCAUGAUCAGGAGGUGAGAGGGAAUGUUUAGCUGUUGCUUUAUGUAGCUAUUUGUGUACAUGCAUGUGUUUAGUUUUCUGUCAUAAACACUGUUUGUACAUGUACGUGUUCUAUGUAAAAGUACUUAGUGUGAUUCUGGCGCCUUUGUAAAACUUAAUUAUUGUAGUCUUUGAGUAGACUAAUAGUGGCUGUAUUAUAGAGGAUGACCUGCGUGACCACAAUAGACUGCACGGUUUCACUGCAUUACUAGUGUUUAAGCUUCCAUAUACUUCCCCUUUAUUAUGCAGCCCCAUGUUGACUACCUCCCUGGUCAAGUGUUUGAGGGUGGUGGCUGACACCUGUCACGCAUCAGUGCUAGAGACGGCGUUCCCAGGGCAACAGCUGGAUAUCGCCCUACUCUGGCAUUGUCUCGUAGAUCACCAUGCCAACAAAGACAAGAUUCCUCUCGACACUGAUUGGGUGAGUCUGGAGGCUGUCGGGCUCUCACUGGGUGUGGUUUCGAAAGAAUUCCUCUCUAAAACAGUCAACUCUCUCUUCACCAAUCUCCUGGAACUGGCCAAAGCUCUCUGCACUAGCCCUGCUAACACACUCGCUUUCUACCAACUCGUAUUUCUCCUGAUACUGGAAUUCUCUUAUCAAGGGCUCUCAGAUAUACUGGUCUUUCCUACACCAGCUGCAAGAGCUUGCUGUGAAGGAGAAAGGCCUUGAAGCACAUCACAGAGUGGUGCUACAUGCUACAGUGGCGGGUGUGCUGCAUCUAGCGUCCAAGAUUAGUCGAAAUGAGGUACUCAAGAUGACGCACAUCGAUGGAGUGAUUGCUAAGAGGAGGGAGACAGCUCCUAAGGCUAUGGUUGGACAUUCUUCUAGAAGGGGGGGAAUUUUGGGAAAUCCGAGGGCUCCCACCCAUCUUCAUGAAACCCUGAUUGUAACCACAGCCACUUGAGAUACAAUGUGCUAGCCCCUUGUAAAGGUACUUGAUAAUUCAUUGCAAACAUCCUAAUUUAAGAUUUCACGACAGCCAGGGUUUAUACCUUUAUGUAUAGUGAUGUAAUAAGUAAUAAGAGGUGUGGUCAGCAUUUUUCGGUGCACGUACACCUUCCCCCUCCCCCCAAGUUUUUAUCCUAUGAAACCGUGACAGCAUGUGACGAAGGUUGAACAGAACGCCUACUACGGUUUUAGGUAUAUGGAGUUGCAUACUCUUCCUAAUGAAGUUGCUAGUACAGUGGUUUUCCUUUGCAAGAGCACUGCUACCACAAUGUAGUGAUUACCUCUGUCUGUAUGUUAUUUUAAUCCACACAUCACAAAAUCACAGUAAAGUGAUGCAUCUUACAGACUAUCUAUACUGCAAACUUUCACACAACUUAAAGAGUAUGUACUCUACUUGCACAGCAUUAUCGUUCCUACUCAUUUAUGCUUGAUGCUCGAGGUCAACAAGCUGCUUCUGGGAAAAUCCAAUUUUGAGCAACACAAGUUCCUUUCAGAUUUGAUUCACUACAUAUGCAGCGGUAGUUAAACCCGGAUAAAAUGCAUAGAUAGUAAAAGAUAGUAAAUACAGGCCCUCAGCUCCCUAUAUACAUACAAGUUUUAGCUCAUAUCAUUUUGCCACAAUGAAUCAAGCAACAAGUUAGCUGAGCUACGUACCAUCGCAAUCACUUCAGUUAGACGAAGUAUGAGGAGAGUUGACGUACUGUACAGCUGGAAAAUUUGGUGAUUAUUUGGCGAAUGCAAUGCAAUACUAUAUACAGUGACGUUGUGUCCACCAGAACAUUUUAAUUUGGGAAUUUUUCAGUAAAUCGCCCAAUUAAAACACCCAUCAAAUUUCCUUAUUAUAAGGGGUUUACAUUUUACAGGCAAUUCCAAGUUAUGAUUCAGAUUGCUUUUGUUGCCUUGUUAAUACCAGGAGCCCAUAAAUAAGAGAAGGAGCGGCUAACUUCAACGUAUACUCUGGGAUCACGUCUCGUAAUUGCCGGUGAAACCGCACUUCCUUGUUUGGAAGUGACUAAGUGCUUACAAACCGCAGCCCUGUAUUGUGUAUAACACGUGUAGGGAUUCAACCACUUAAGUGACUCUGCAUAUAUGGAAAUGCGGUCAUAACCACUUACGAAACGUGAUCCCCGUAGUCAGCCGCUCCUUCUCUUAUUUAUGGGCUCCUGUUAAUACUGACAAUCAUAACAGAAGCCAACCAAAAUACUGAUUAUACCCUAGAACUAGACUAUUGAAACCAAUAGAACCGGGGAGGAUUUGAUAUGGAGAAUGGUCUAUCAACACCUUGUGCUGAGACUUGCAUGCUGAACGAAAAAUUGUUACGCUAAGGAACCUGCAGAUGGCUGACUCGCUCACUGUGGUAUAUCGGUUUGACCAACAAUUCCGAACAUAUUUCACAUUUCUCAUACAUUUGUAUAAGCAGCAGGCUUAAACUAUCUUUUGUGAUCUGUCAGUGUUUAAUGUCCUUUGCAGUACUUCGUACUAACAGUUUCUUCAGCCUUCACACUGCUUUCCAUACAUUCAGUGGACGGUUAGUAGCUACAUGUAUAUCAUAUCUGCUGGUAUAUGCAAGCUAGUCCCCGCCCAUUCUCCAUUUCUGAUCCUCACCAUAAUUUGCAUGUAUGUGAGUUUCCAUAUAUACCACUAAGAGUAGAUCGUGAGAGCAUUUACUAUAAUAUUGAUGCCACCUUAUAGCGGGUAAUUUUUGAGGGUCUCGCAGAUUAGCCAUUUUUGUA